rnacentral:lncRNA from 1 species
UCGAGACUGUAAGAUAAUUAGUUAGUUCAUGAACAUUUUAACAGUGUAGACAAGUGACAGCUUCCCCUGGAAUUUCAGGACCAAUUUACCAUAGGACAAGGUAAAAUCUUGACACAUUUUUGCAGGUUUCACACUUACCAUUGUGGUUUGGUUUGUGUAUUUUACAGCAGUGUGAUGGUACCGCUGUGUACUGGGGAUAUGGUUACUCUUUCAAGAGAUUGCAGAACUUGCCAAUUUUAGAGAUCUUGAAUUUUGGCAUCCUAGACUGAAACGCCAGGCUUGUGUAGUCAAGAUUUUGAAUAACGUGUAAACAAA